CGUAGUGGGCGGUGUGGAACGUUAGGCGCCAUCUUGCCUGCUCUUUGUGGUGGGUCUUCUACUCACGGCCUCGGUCUCUGGAGGUUUUUUUUUGCGGACAUAUUCGUAGUCAGAAUGGGAAGGAAGAAGAAGAAGCAGCUGAAGCCCUGGUGCUGGUACUGCAACCGAGACUUCGAUGACGAGAAGAUCCUCAUCCAGCACCAGAAGGCCAAGCAUUUCAAAUGCCACAUCUGUCACAAGAAGCUGUACACCGGCCCAGGCCUGGCCAUCCACUGUAUGCAGGUACAUAAGGAGACCAUCGAUGCUGUGCCCAACGCCAUCCCUGGGAGGACAGACAUCGAGCUGGAAAUCUAUGGCAUGGAAGGCAUUCCUGAAAAAGACAUGGAGGAGAGGAGGAGAAUGCUUGAGCAGAAGACACAAGCUGAUGGACAGAAGAAGAAACAGGAUGACUCUGAUUAUGAAGAUGACGAUGAGUCCGGGCCAUCCAGCGCGUUCCCAUCUCAAAUGCAGGCCCAGCAGGGGUACAUGCCCGGUCUGCAUGGAUUAGCAGGAGCUCCAGGCAUGCCCCCAGGAAUCCCUCCUCUAAUGCCCACUGUGCCACUGAUGCAUGGGAUCCCGCCCGGCAUGCCAGGGAUGCCUCACGGGUUAGUAUCUGCUCUUGCUUUACUGUUUUGGUAUAAAGCCAUUUACCUGGGUUUGACGCCUUCUCUCCUUUUUUUUUUUUCCAGCAUGUUACAGAUGGGUGGCCUGAUGCAUCACCAUGGCCCGGGAAUCCCCCCAAUGAUGGCUGGUUUGCCUCCAGGUGUGCCGCCACCGAUGGGCCCUCGUCCAGGGAUCCCUGCUGUUACUCAGGGUCAGCCCAUCUCGGCUCCAGGUGUUAGCAGACUUCCACCUCCCAGUACCUCUGCCCCAUCCAUGUCCUCUGUGCCCAAGCCACUAUUCCCCAGUGCUGGACAGAUGGGAUCACCAGUCACCAGUUCCACCUCCUCGUCCUCCGGCUCAGAGGGCCUCUCUGCACCCGCUAAAGUGCUCUUUCCUAGUGCUGCACAAGCUCCAGCGACAGUGGCCGGACCGGUGGGCACAGACUUUAAGCCCUUGAACAGUGCCACAGUUACAACAUCAGAACCUCCUAAACCAACGUUUCCCGCUUACACUCAGUCAACCAUGUCAACCACUAGCACCACAAAUAGCACUGCUGCUAAACCGGCUGCUUCCAUAACAAGUAAGCCCGCUACCCUGAGUACUACUAGUGCUACUAGUAAGUUGAUCCAUCCAGAUGAGGAUAUAUCACUGGAAGAGAAGCGUGCUCAGCUCCUGAAAUACCAGCGUAACCUGCCUCGGCCAGGACAGGCACCCAUGGGAGGUCUUGCAUCCCCUCUUGGAGCUAUGAUGGCACCACAGCCUGGCAUCCCACCGCAGCAGCCUGGCAUGAGGCAUCCAAUGCCCCAUCAUGGUCAGUUUGGGAGCCCGCACCAAGGCAUGCCAGGAUUUCACCCAGGGGCAAUACCUCCCUUUGGACAAGCACCACCUAUGGUCCCACAAUUCCAAGGUGGGCCCCCUCGACCACUGAUGGGAAUGCGACCUCCUGUCAUGUCUCAAGGUGGCCGCUACUGACCAUGCUGCACGAUAAAUAGGUUUUUAGAAGUGGCGUAUAGUAAAUAUGGUUCGUUUAAUUGUGAAGGCGCCAAAUACCACCACAAGCACUGCCCUAGCACAGGCUGAGUCUGUGUUGCCCUGUUCAAUCUGAGGCAAGUGGCAUUUAUUUUCUUCAGGGGCCCUCACAGCCUUAGCUGUUGGAUAUAUAUGUCCCCAAACUUGCAGCAAGUUUGGUGAAGGCCCCUGCCAUUUUCUGUAAUGUAGGGCUUCUGCUGGUUCAAUGUUGUGUACGGAGAGUUGCUGCAUUAAAUCCCGGCCCCUCGGUGACCAGGCUCUGGCUGGGCAGUGCUUGGUGUUGUCAGUGCCACUGACGGCACUGCGUACUCCAUGGCUGCUCCAGACUCUCAGCGUUACUGUCUAUGAACACAGCGCAUUCUAGGCCAUCACUGCCGCAGGGCCGUCUGACCUCGGAUGUCUAGGGUCAGGUUCUCGUGUGCUCUAGACAGUAAUGUCUCCUGUGGCUCAUGGUCUGUCCUCUAGAUUUCAGGCCUUCAGUGUCACCGUUUACAAGGGAUGCGCUGAAGCACGGAUAUGUCAUGUAUGUGCUUAAUGUUU